GUCUACGGCCAUGCUACCCUGAACGAGCCCAAUCUUGUCUGAUCUCGCAAGCUAAGUAGAGUUGGGCCUGGUUAGUACUUGGAUGGGAGACCACCUAGGAAGACCAGGUGCUGUACAUA
rnacentral:rRNA from 1 species